GGGGCUGUGGCUCAGUGGUAGAGUGCUUGCUUUUCAAGUGUGAGGCUCUGGGUUGGAUCCUCAGCACCA
rnacentral:tRNA from 1 species